AGAGUUUGAUCCUGGCUCAGAACGAACGCUGGCGGCGUGUCUUAAGCAUGCAAGUCGAACGAGAAACAUGCCUUCGGGUGUGUGGACAGUGGCGGACGGGUGAGUAACACGUAGGUGAUCUACCUCGGGGUGGGGGAUAGCCCAUGGAAACAUGGGGUAAUACCGCAUGAAGCCGGACAUUUGCGAAUGUCCGAUGAAAGGCGCAAUUGUGCCGCCUGGAGAUGAGCCUGCGGACCAUUAGCUUGUUGGUGGGGUAAUGGCCUACCAAGGCGACGAUGGAUAGCCGGCCUGAGAGGGCGAACGGCCACACUGGGACUGCGACACGGCCCAGACUCCUACGGGAGGCAGCAGCUAAGAAUAGUCCGCAAUGGGGGAAACCCUGACGGUGCGACGCCGCGUGAACGAUGAAGGCCUGACGGUUGUAAAGUUCUUUUCUCGAUGAAGAAUAAGGAUGGGAGUGGAAUGCCCGUCUGAUGACGUUAAUCGAGGAAUAAGCCCCGGCUAAUUACGUGCCAGCAGCCGCGGUAAUACGUAUGGGGCGAGCGU
rnacentral:rRNA from 1 species